rnacentral:rRNA from 1 species
UACAGAGGCCUCAAGCGUUGUCCGGAAUCAUUGGGCGUAAAGGGCGCGUAGGUGGCCCGGUCAGCGUGCGGUGAAAGCUCGGGGCUCAACCCCGAGUCGGCCGUGCGAACUGCUGGGCUUGAGCACUGUAGAGGCAGGCGGAAUUCCGGGUGUAGCGGUGGAAUGCGUAGAGAUCCGGAAGAACACCGGUGGCGAAGGCGGCCUGCUGGGCAGUGGCUGACACUGAGGCGCGACAGCGUGGGGAGCAAACAGG